rnacentral:rRNA from 1 species
UCACUUUCAACAACGGA